UGGUUUUUCCCCACCAAAAUUCUUAUUUCCUUUUUGCAUUUUCUUCCUUGUAGAUUUCAUGGAGGAAGCAGGUCUUACAUUGUACUUUCCUAGUGUUGUCCUGAGGUCCAUAUACAACUCAAGUCUGGCUUUCUGCCUCUGGAUUGUAUUUCCCAGAGAAAAAUUUAAGUUUUCAUUUCCAAAGGUCCAUCAAGUAUCAACAAAAUGAGUGAAAAUAGGUCCACAUCAUUGUAAAAUUUCAAAACAAGGCGGAUAAAGGAAAGACUGCAAUCUUUUAGAGAGGAAAAAAACAGGUGUAGUAGUAAGGAUGAAGAUCAGAAUGAUCUUGAACUUCUCAACAACACUAGCAACAAAAGAUAACAGAACAAUGCCUUCAACAGACUGAAGAAAGAUGAUUUCCAGGUAGAAUUCUACAUCUGGCCAAACCAUUAGUUAAGGUAGUGAACUACCGAAGGUGAAAUAGAUAUUUUCCAAUGAGCGAGCCUCAAGAAAACUCUCAUUUACUCUUGCUAAAAGCCUUUAGAGGAUAUUCACUAAAACAAAAAGCAGAAGGGGAAGAGUGGAGAUAGGGCGUGUUAUGCAGGAGGAUGGCAAGUGUCUGUGACGGGAGCUCGUAGCAUGACAGCUAACCAGGUAUAGGGGCCAGCAAUCCAUACGGGAGCUCUGGGACUUGAGAGAUGUUUAUGCUGACAGAGCUCAUUUCUUCUGCCAUUGUUGUCUCUUCAAUCUGAUGAACCUAUUGGAUGUUGUGCUCUAACAAAAUGAGAACAUAAACCAUGAAAGAGGAAAAUGGGAAGUCUAAGAAACAGAAAGUCACUCAGGACAUAGGCCAGGGGAACUCCUAGGAUCAGAGUGGAAAGUAAUCCCAGUCCGCUGUGCAGCCUGCCUAAAGAACCGGUUCAGGGAGAAGGGAAAUGGGGUGCCUCAGGAGGGAUGUACCUGGGGGAUCACCUGCUGUGACUGACCUGGUGCAGAGAGGCCUUUGUGAGGUGAGGGAUGAAUCAUCAAUAGGUACAAAGAACUAAAUGAAGGAAACAGUAAAAGAAUUAUUAACUUCAGAGACAUGAAAGAUGCAACCGAAUUAUGUUCCACAUGGAUGAUACAACAGAGAUCACAUACAUUAUUCAGAAUAUGGAGAUCGCUGAAAUUAUUGCAGAUUUCAUGGAGGAAGCAGGUCUUACAUUAUACUUUCCUAGUGCUGUCCUGAGGUCCAUAUACAACUCAAGUCUGGCUUUCUGCCUCUGGAUUGUAUUUCCCAGAGAAAAAUUUAAGUUUUCAUUUCUAAAGGUCCAUCAAGUAUCAACAAAAUGAGUGAAAAUAGGUCCACAUCAUCAUAAAAUUUCAAAACAAGGCGGAUAAAGGAAAGACUGCAAUAUUUUAGAGAGGAAAAAAACAGGUGUAGUAGUAAGGAUGAAGAUCAGAAUGAUCUUGAACUUCUCAACAACACUAGCAACAAAAGAUAACAGAACAAUGCCUUCAACAGACUGAAGAAAGAUGAUUUCCAGGUAAAAUUCUACAUCCGGCCAAACCAUUAGUUAAGGUAGUG